rnacentral:rRNA from 1 species
AACGUAGGUGGCAAGCGUUAUCCGGAAUUACUGGGCGUAAAGGGUGUGCAGGCGGGGAAGCAAGUGGUGUAUGAAAUAUCCCAGCUUAACUGGGAGGGGUUAUGCCAGACUGCUUUUCUAGAGGACGAGAGAGGGGGGUGGAAUUCCGGGUGUAGUGGUGAAAGUGCGUAGAGAUCCGGAGGAACCCCAGAGGCGAAGGCGGCCCCCUGGCUCGUACCUGACGCUCAGCCACGAAAGCAUGGGGAGCGAACGGG